UAGAAUUACAGCGCGCAAGCGCAAGGGCGAUGUUGACUUUCCGGUUUUUCGUUUCUGUGUUCGCACAGGAUGGAGAAUUGGUAGAGGAAAGCAUUUGUCUCUCCAUGAGUGCGGAUGAUACGAUUGAGGAAAUUUAUCGAUUUUACCAAUGGUAAAAUCGAUAAACGUUUUA
rnacentral:misc_RNA from 1 species